rnacentral:rRNA from 1 species
GACGAACGCUGGCGGCGUGCCUAAUACAUGCAAGUUGAGCGCUGAAGGUUGGUACUUGUACCAACUGGAUGAGCAGCGAACGGGUGAGUAACGCGUGGGGAAUCUGCCUUUGAGCGGGGGACAACAUUUGGAAACGAAUGCUAAUACCGCAUAAAAACUUUAAACACAAGUUUUAAGUUUGAAAGAUGCAAUUGCAUCACUCAAAGAUGAUCCCGCGUUGUAUUAGCUAGUUGGUGAGGUAAAGGCUCACCAAGGCGAUGAUACAUAGCCGACCUGAGAGGGUGAUCGGCCACAGUGGGACUGAGACACGGCCCAAACUCCUACGGGAGGCAGCAGUAGGGAAUCUUCGGCAAUGGACGAAAGUCUGACCGAGCAACGCCGCGUGAGUGAAGAAGGUUUUCGGAUCGUAAAACUCUGUUGGUAGAGAAGAACGUUGGUGAGAGUGGAAAGCUCAUCAAGUGACGGUAACUACCCAGAAGGGGACGGCUAACUACGUG